GGGGCCAUCGUCUAGUGGUUAGGACAUCAGGUUUUCAUCCUGACAACCGGGGUUCGAUUCCCCGUGGCCCUG
rnacentral:tRNA from 1 species